rnacentral:rRNA from 1 species
UACGUAGGGCGCAAGCGUUGUCCGGAAUUAUUGGGCGUAAAGAGCUCGUAGGUGGCGUGUCGCGUCUGCCGUGAAAGCCCAUGGCUUAACUGUGGGUCUGCGGUGGAUACGGGCAGGCUGGAGGCUGGUAGGGGCAAGCGGAAUUCCUGGUGUAGCGGUGAAAUGCGCAGAUAUCAGGAGGAACACCGGUGGCGAAGGCGGCUUGCUGGGCCAGUUCUGACGCUGAGGCGCGAAAGCCAGGGGAGCAAACAGG